GUAUACCAUCAUCAGUGGAGGGAGCUUGUUCACUAUUGGUUUUCCGAGAGAGGACAGACAUAUUCUGACAUUGGUCGAGCCGCACGAGCAUCUCAGACAAUUCCUCACACUUCAGGCUCGAAGAGUUAUGCGAGGCUCAGAGCUGAAUUCAUGGAAGACCAUGGGA